UAACCUUCAGAAUCAAUCCGAUAUGCAACUGUUAACGUCCAGAGCUAGUGAAGAUGUUAAGCUCCGCCAUAACACUUGCAAGCCUUUGUCCACAACAACUCUUCUUUCCCAACUCGAACCCCAUCAAAGUAAAAUCCAGCUCUUCAUAUUUCUGUCAUAGCAAUCACUCACACAACAUUAGCAAUAAAAGAUUUCAACUAGACUUGCUUCAAUUUUUUCACUCAAAAUCGAGCCUUUGCCUCAACUGUUCCAUCAGCCAGGGAACUUCCAGUGCUGGAGAUAAUAUCCCACAUGACCAGCACUUAAAGGAGAGUAAAGGGUUCUGGGAUUAAUGGAAGGUGAGAGCUUUUUAAGCUGAACUACAAGCUCAAUCAUCAAUUCUUUUUUUUUUCUUUCUUUAUAUGUAGUUUUGUUAAGAAAAGAAAAGAACCCACCUGGCUGAUGAGAAAAUUACUGAGAGAAAAGGAAGAAGGGGGAACUUUUCGCAUUGUGACUUGAAUUUUUUGACCACUUAACUCAACUCAGAUGGCCCUUGUAUCUGCAUAGGAAAUUAUAUAUUCGAACCCCAUUGCAAAGUAAAACUAUUGGUGAUAUACAAACUCCAAAAGGCCUUUGCUUUGCUAUCUUUCGAUGUUGUUACAGAACAAUGCAUUUAACAUUCUUCAUGUGCAUAGACAUCAAGUAGCUUCAAGAAUCUUAAGCAAAUAUCACUUUCUGUUGAGAAAGACUCACUGUACCUAUCACUCAUCAACCAACCACACCCAUGUGAAUCUCCUCACAAUUGCCUCAAACUCCAAAUCUCUGCGCCAAACUAAACAAGUCCAUGCCUUUGCACUCCACAAUGGAUUUCUUCCUAGAAGUGUUUCUCUCUGUGCCUCUUUGAUCCUCCGCUAUGCUGCUUUCCAAGAAUCCAAUGCUUGUUUCCUUCUCUUUGAACAGACUAUUAGUUAUUGCCACACUGCAUUUCUGUGGAAUACUUUCAUUCGGGCUCUAUUGGUUGCCCGUGUUCAUGAUGGUUUUGUUACCUAUAAUCGAAUGGUUAGGACCAGAGUUCCGCUUGAUAACCAUACCUUCCCUUUUGUUCUCAAGGCAUGUGCUGAUAAUUUGGAACUCCAAAAGGGUAUGGAGAUUCAUGGGCAUCUGUUCAAACUUGGUUUUGAAAUGGAUGUUUUUGUGGGUAAUACCCUGUUGUUGUUUUAUGGUAAUUGUGGGCUUUUGGAAAAUGUUAGGAGUGUGUUUGAUGAAAUGCGUGAGAGAGAUAUUGUUUCCUGGAAUACAAUUAUAGGAUUACUUUCGGUUAAUGGCUGCUAUGUGGAGGCGCUUGAUUUAUAUUGUGAUAUGAUUUUAAGGUCUGGGUUUAAACCAAACUCAGUUACUAUUGUUAGUAUCUUGCCAGUUUGCGGGAGCCUUGCAAAUGAGGUCAUGGCAAGGCAGAUUCAUUGUUUUGUUGUGAAGGUUGGGUUGGGUGUUCAGGCGACUAUUAGUAAUGCACUGGUUGAUGUGUAUGGUAAAUGUGGAAAUAUGAUGGCUUCAAGGCAAGUUUUUGAUGAAAUGGUAGAGAGGAACGAAGUUUCCUGGAAUGCCGUAAUUGCUAGUCUUGCUCAUACAGGGUGUAACAAGGAUGCAUUAGAUAUGUUUAGGCUGAUGAUUUGUGCUGGGCUGACACCAAACUCUAUUGCUAUAUCUAUUAUUUUACCUGUGUUGGUUGAAGAAGAAUUAUUUGGGUUAGGAAAGGAAAUCCAUGGGUUCUGUUUAAGAAUGGGCAUUGAAUCUGAUGUGUUUGUUGCCAACUCAAUGAUUGAUAUGUAUGCAAAAUCAGGCCAUCAAUCUGAAGCUUCCUCUCUGUUUCACAAUAUGCUUGUAAAGAAUGUUGUUACUUGGAAUGCCAUGAUUGCUAAUUUCACUCAAAACGGGCAAGAGUUAGCGGCUCUAGAGCUAUUAAGAGCAAUGUCAGUACAUAACGAGAUACCUAAUUCUGUCACUUUGACGAAUGUUCUUCCAGCUUGUGUACGAGUUGGUUUCCUUCGUCCAGGAAAAGAAAUCCAUGCAGUGACCAUCCGUAUGGGGUUCAACCUUGAUCUGUUUGUCACCAAUGCUCUGACAGACGUGUAUGCAAAAUGUGGCCGCUUAGAUCUGGCUCAAAGUGUUUUUGACAUAUCCUGUAGGGAUGAAAUAUCUUAUAAUAUAUUAAUAGUAAGCUAUGCUCAAACAAGUGAUUGCUCAAAAUCCUUGAGUUUAUUCUCAGAAAUGGGUCUCAAGGGUAUGAUGCAUGAUGUGGUUUCCUUUGUGGGUGCUAUAUCAGCUUGUGGAAAAUUAGCUGCAACCAAGCAAGGGAAAGAGAUCCAUGCAGUCGUGACGAGAAAGCUUUUUCACACACACCUCUUUGUUGCUAAUUCACUUUUGGACUUUUAUUCCAGAUGUGGACGGAUUGAUAUAGCUGACAAGAUCUUUGUCAGGAUUCCAAAUAAAGAUGCAGCCUCGUGGAAUACUAUGAUUUUGGGUUAUGGAAUGCUUGGUGAUUUGGACAUGGCUAUCGAUCUCUUCGAAAAUAUGAGGGAACGUGGAGUGCAAUAUGAUUCAGUUUCAUAUAUUGCAGUUUUGUCAGCCUGUAGCCAUGGAGGAUUUGUUGAAAAAGGGAGGAAAUACUUUGAGGAAAUGCAAGCUCAGAAUAUUAAGCCGACACAAAUGCACUAUGCUUGUAUGGUUGAUCUCCUUGGACGAGCUGGCCUUAUGGAAGAUGUAGUGGAACUUAUAAAAAAUUUGCCCAUCAUACCGGAGUCCAAUAUAUGGGGUGCUUUGCUUGGGGCAUGCCGAAUCCAUGGUAAUAUAGAGUUGGGGUCUUGGGCAGCUGAGCAUUUGCUUAAGUUGAAACCUGAACAUUGUGGGUAUUAUAUUCUUCUUUCAAACAUGUAUGCAGAAGCUGGGAAAUGGGAUGAGGCAAACAAGAUUAGGGAAUUGAUGAAGUCGAGAGGGGCAAAGAAAAAUCCUGGUUACAGUUGGGUUCAAACAGGGGACCAGGUACAAGCAUUUGUAGUUGGAGAGUUAAUGGAGAACUCCACUCCAGGUCUUUGGCAUGAAGAACACGGUUAAAUUUGUUAAAGAAAUCUGAGUUUUAUGGUUGUUUGCUGACGUACAAGUCUUGGCAGCAUCAAAAGUGAACCAGAAAAUUGAAUAGCAGAAAUUUUUUAAGUAUCCAGAAGACGAAAAGGAGAUGAAUUGCAUCGAACUUUUGCAUAGUAGGCUAACUCAGCUGAAAUCAAUUCAAAGCUUGCAAAGCUUGGGCUUGCUCCAUUGCUAGUAGCUAAAUGGUUGUUUGAUGGCGUUACAUAUACCGCUUUCUUUGUCUUGGCAUUCCUCGGCUAUGACAAAAGUUCUAGCAAGAACCCGGCCGCUAAUCUCCAGGCACUUUUAGGGGAACGACGUAACCAGGCCAUUGGAGUUGCCGGAGCAGCAGCACUGGCUUCACUUGUCGACAAAGGUUUGAGGAGGAUCCAAAACUAUUUCAGGUUUCCAAAUCUUGUCUAUGCAUUUGCCCCUGUUGUCUCCAUAGUUGGUGCUUCAUGUUUAACAGUCGUUGGCUUGGUCAUCCUUUCCAGACGUUGAAAAAAUUCUCUCAUCAAAGAGCUAAAAAUGAAGUGAAAGCUCCUUUUCUUGUGCUUGUGCUCGUAAAUAUUUUAGAAAUUGUGUCAUUUGAUUCUAAUAUUUUCUGGCUGUUCUUUUGAAUAUAGAAGGAAAACUGUUGCUUAAUCAAUGUUUUUAGACACACAAUUUUAGAAAUUGUGUUAAUAACAUGUUUCCACAUAAAUAAUAUUAGAAAGAACAUCUAAGAUAGAAUAACAUCACUGCAUAAAAGCUACCCAUUUUCAUGUACAGCAAACAAAAUCCCUGGCAUGUCAUGCCAUUUUGAUCAAACUAUGAAAUCACCAGUUCAUAUGAUACUCAGCUGCUGUUCUACUUUUUUGAAAAUCUGGUGUCAUACUACUGUAAAUCGCCUUUAAAGGAGAUUAUUCUUGAAUGCAAGUAUCAUUUUUUUGCAACUGAAGCAAAAAGAAUGCUAAUACAGAACCGAAGAACAUUUUGAUAGCAUAUCUCACAAAGUCAUUGUCAUCUUCAUUGGAGAUAUUCUUUGAGGAAGAUAGAGCAGUUGCUGAAGGAAAGGCUUCUAGUACUGCAUCUGCCAGAUCAGUGAUGAAGGAAGGCAUGCAGUUGAGGGCGGGUACAUGUCCCCAGUGUUGAAUGCCGGAUUCAAGAGCCUUCAUGUCAAUCUCUUCAAGUGUUUCAAUGUGCUCACUCAUAAAACUGCAAUAGUAAAUUCUCCUUAGAUAGCCAUUUUAGUGCUUGUAUCGACACAUGAAAUUGCUAUUUUUGUAACUAGUCAUUAGUCA